CGGCCACACUGGGACUGAGACACGGCCCAGACUCCUACGGGAGGCAGCAGUAGGGAAUCUUCCGCAAUGGACGAAAGUCUGACGGAGCAACGCCGCGUGAGUGAUGAAGGUUUUUCGGAUCGUAAAGCUCUGUUGUUAGGGAAGAACAAGUGCGAGAGUAACUGCUCGCACCUUGACGGUACCUAACCAGAAAGCCACGGCUAACUACGUGCCAGCAGCCGCGGUAAUACGUAGGUGGCAAGCGUUGUCCGGAAUUAUUGGGCGUAAAGGGCUCGCAGGCGGUUUCUUAAGUCUGAUGUGAAAGCCCCCGGCUCAACCGGGGAGGGUCAUUGGAAACUGGGAAACUUGAGUGCAGAAGAGGAGAGUGGAAUUCCACGUGUAGCGGUGAAUGCGUAGAGAUGUGGAGGAACACCAGUGGCGAAGGCGACUCUCUGGUCUGUAACUGACGCUGAGGAGCGAAAGUCGUGGGGAGCGUAUCAGGAUUAGAUAUCCCUGGUAGUCCAUGCCGUAUUACGAUGAGUGCUAAGUGUUAGGGGUUUUCCGCCCUUUAGUGCUGCAGCUAACGCAUUAAGCACUCCGCCUGGGGAGUACGGUCGCAAGACUGAAACUCAAAGGAAUUGACGGGGGCCCGCACAAGCGGU
rnacentral:rRNA from 1 species